GGAUUGUGGCUCAGUGGUAGAGCACUUGCCUGGCAUGUGUGAGGCACUGGGUUUGAUCCUCAGCACCACAUCCA
rnacentral:tRNA from 1 species